CCUACGGGAGGCAGCAGUGAGGAAUAUUGGUCAAUGGGCUUACGCCUGAACCAGCCAAGUCGCGUGAGGGAAGACUGCCCUAUGGGUUGUAAACCUCUUUUGUCAGGGAGCAACGCCGGCUACGUGUAGCCGGACUGAGAGUACCUGAAGAAAAAGCAUCGGCUAACUCCGUGCCAGCAGCCGCGGUAAUACGGAGGAUGCACGCGUUAUCCGGAUUGAUUGGGUUUAAAGGGUGCGUAGGCGGAAUGCCAAGUCAGCGGUAAAAUCGCGGGGCUCAACCUCGCUCCGCCGUUGAAACUGGCGUUCUUGAGUGGGCGAGAAGUAUGCGGAAUGCGUGGUGUAGCGGUGAAAUGCAUAGAUAUCACGCAGAACUCCGAUUGCGAAGGCAGCAUACCGGCGCCCAACUGACGCUGAAGCACGAAAGCGUGGGUAUCGAACAGGAUUAGAUACCCGAGUAGUC
rnacentral:rRNA from 1 species